rnacentral:sRNA from 1 species
ACGACCAAGAUGGCGGCGGUGUCUGGCUUGGUGCGGAGACCCCUUCGGGAGGUCUCCGGGCUGCUGAAGAGGCGCUUUCACUGGACCGCGCCGGCUGCGCUGCAGGUGACAGUUCGUGAUGCUAUAAAUCAGGGUAUGGAUGAGGAGCUGGAAAGAGAUGAGAAGGUAUUUCUGCUUGGAGAAGAAGUUGCCCAGUAUGAUGGGGCAUACAAGGUAACUAAAAUAUGUGAAAGUUAUACAAAAUUGAGGUCACUGUUACCCCCAGAUACACUUAAGGGAUCAACUCUUAAUUGUAGGUUAGUCGAGGGCUGUGGAAGAAAUAUGGAGACAAGAGGAUUAUUGAUACUCCCAUAUCAGAGAUGGGCUUUGCUGGAAUUGCUGUAGGUGCAGCUAUGGCUGGGUUGCGGCCCAUUUGUGAAUUUAUGACCUUCAAUUUCUCCAUGCAAGCCAUUGACCAGGUUAUAAACUCAGCUGCCAAGACCUACUACAUGUCUGGUGGCCUUCAGCCUGUGCCUAUAGUCUUCAGGGGACCCAAUGGUGCCUCAGCAGGUGUAGCUGCCCAGCACUCACAGUGCUUUGCUGCCUGGUAUGGGCACUGCCCAGGCUUAAAGGUGGUCAGCCCCUGGAAUUCAGAGGAUGCUAAAGGACUUAUUAAAUCAGCCAUUCGGGAUAACAAUCCAGUGGUGGUGCUAGAGAAUGAAUUGAUGUAU